AACAACAAAGAUCAGCACUCUCUCUCUCUCUAGACUCUCACCUUCUCUCUCUCAAAAACGUCGUCGGUGACCGACCGGAGCUCCGGCUGCCACCACAACACCACCAUCUUCUCCCUCUCUCUACCAUCUCUCUCUCCCCAAAACUAAAAAAAAAUAAAAAAAUAAGAGAAUCCGCGUCGCCGACCGUCACUCCGUCCGACCAACGACGGCGGCAACAGCGCCGUCGUCUCUGCCUCUCUCCCCUCGCCUCUUCGUCCGACCGACGACGGCAGUAAUAACGUCGUCGUCACCGUCAGUCGCCGCUGCUCUGGUAUUUCUUAUUUCGUCGUGCAACGAUAGUUGGAAAUCGUUGAUUUGGGGUUUUGGAUCUGGGAUCUUGGGUUGUUUUUUUUGAAGUUUAUUCGGAUUUGUGGGUUAUUCAUCGUGAGGUUUUUGUCGUGGUUUUUCGAUCUGUCCGGUUGAACUCAAUAUCGAGUUUGGAGUUGUUCGUUGUGAGG
rnacentral:lncRNA from 1 species